ensembl:miRNA
GGUAGGGGGCGGGCUCCGGCGCUGGGACCCCACUAGGGUGGCGCCUUG